rnacentral:misc_RNA from 1 species
CGCAUAUUGCGCCCAUUGGUAUUCCGAUGGGCAUGCCUGUUCGAGCGUCAUUUCAACCCUCAAGCAAAGCUUUUUGCUUGGUGAUGGAGCUUUCUAUAGCGCUUCGCUAUAGGCUCCGAAAAACAUUGGCGGUUUUUCAGCAAAUCCGAACGUAGUAAAUUACUUUUCGUUUAGGGAGUUACUGAAAUCUCUAGCCACUAAAACCCCUACUGUUUUUAAAGUUGACCUCGGAUCAGGUAGGAAUACCCGCUGAACUUAA